UACAGAGGUCUCAAGCGUUGUUCGGAUUCAUUGGGCGUAAAGGGCGUGUAGGUGGUUACGUAAGUCUGGCGUGAAAUUUCUCGGCUUAACCGAGGCAGGUCGUCGGAUACUGCGAGACUAGAGGACGGUAGAGGCGUGUGGAAUUCCGGGUGUAGUGGUGAAAUGCGUAGAGAUCCGGAGGAACACCAGUGGCGAAGGCGACACGCUGGGCCGUACCUGACACUGAGGCGCGAUAGCAUGGGGAGCAAAC
rnacentral:rRNA from 1 species